GCACGGGGCACUGGCCUGGGCAGGUGGCGGGAACGUUGCUGGGGUGGGCAUCUGUGCUUUCGGCUGCCCUCUGGCCCAGGAAAUUCCUCCCAGGGGCCAGGCCAGAGAUGGGCCAGGCAGGGGGAGGGCAAGUGAGGGAACAUGAACCCCUGGCUGACCUGAGUCAGAAAGCUGCUGGCCCCUAAAUUCCAGAGAUUCAGCAACAAAGAGGCCUAGUAGGGAGAGGAGUUACUAGGUUUAGGGGUUUUUCCCAGAACACCCAGGACUCUGGCCAGGGGCUGGAAGGUGCUCCAGGCUCAAUGCUGGGCAAUACUCAUGGAUUAAUUGGUGCUGGCUGGGCCUGCCAGCCUAGUCGUGGCCCCAGGGUCCCCACUAAAGGGCUCCUUCUCCAGCGCCCACUCUGUUGGCAAGGUCUUCACUACCAUCACCUGCCUGGACUCCAUCCAAGCAUCAGGGUUGCUGCAGUCGCUCCUGAAGAGACCCGGCUCUGCUUGAAAGUUCUUCCCUCAGCGCCUGCUGGAGCCCUCCCUGCCGGAGUUGCCAGAAUCCACACGCAUCUGGCUGGGGCUCCCGGGAUGGCGGGGUGAACAGGAGGAUGUACGAGAAAAAUGAGAAGGCUGUCAGCUCCCUUGCCUUCUUGGGGCUUCCUCACCGCUGACAUGGAGCUGAGAUAAGGAAUCCCUACAGGCUGGCAGCUUGAGAUAAGUGAGAAAGACUUGGAUUUGACUGCAUUCCGGGCAUUUGAGAUACUUGGAAGAGAUCAGAAUUCAGCUUCCCCAGGGACAGCAAGGCCAAGAAGGUGUCCAGAUCCUGGCCUCUCUCCAGAUCUUGGACUCUCUCAAGGCCAAGACUCUCUCUCUUAAGAUCUCUAUCUCAAGGCCAAGAUCUCUCUCCAGAUAUUGGCCUCUCUCAAGGUACUUCCAAGAUCUCAGAGGGCCAUUCACUGUGGAUCUAAUAUGAAGACAGAGAAACCAGCCUUCCAGAGGAGCGGACACAUUUCCUUAGUCCCAGGAUACACUUUGUGUGGAAUCCACAGAUCUGCCCUGAUGAUCAUGAAGGAAUGCGAAAGAGCCUGGUAAAACGAUAUGGACUUGUGCAAAUGCAAAGCAAUGGUGAAGUCAUCACGAACCGCACAGACUGGACAGAACUCCUAUCUGGCUGCAAUGGCUUGGGUUCAGUCAGCCCAGGGGCCAGAGAAUUGGCUACAAAGAGCUCUGGAGUGCCCCUCCCUCCAAAUAAAGUAUUCUAAGCGUGCACUGA
rnacentral:lncRNA from 1 species